AAAUGAACAAAAUGUUUUAAAUUUAAUUUAGAUGAGCAUUAAAGACAAUCAAGUUGUUCUAUUUAACCAAGUAGAUGGUUGUUCCUGAUUUUUUUGUUCAUGUUAUUUUCUUCAAAUAACAACAAAUUACAGAUUUAAUGUAGCGUUGGUGAAUGUAAACUCUCUAGAAAUAUGCAUUUUCAUCUUACUUGAGGCUACAUUCAUCCUUAGAAACUAAGGGAAAUAGUUGGUGGUCUGAAAAAAUAAAAUCCUGAACUGCAAUCACUUGACAGUAAUUAAAAUGGUAUUAUUCGUUCUCUCUAAAGGUCUGACAAACAUCCUCUGCUCCCGAUGAACAAAGAGAGCCUUGAUUUUCACGUCUCCUGUGGAGCUGCUGUUCUCAUCCUGCUGGAAUGCAGACUGCAAACGUUUGUGGUUAUCCUUGUUUCAUUUGUACUUCAACCGUACGUUCUUGAAGAUGGAAACUCAGAGGAACAUACGACGCAAGAACGCAUAACAAUAAACUGGGAAGGAAAAAUCCAGUAUGGAGCGCUGCAAAGAAAGCUGGAUUUUAGAUUACGUAACAAAGGAAACGGGCUUUUCGGAUCAGGUUCAGAUGUCGGUAUCCAGAGCCAAUAAAAAGAGACUACUGUUAGAGGCUAUUUCAUAAAGAACACGCAAAAGACAAAAGAUGCCAAGAACAACAGAAAGCUGGACCAAUACAUCAGCGCAUAAAAAGAGGAUGGAGAGGAUGAUGACACCUGUGAUGACACCUGUGCGUGUCAAAAUAAAAGCUUUCAAGUUGAGCAAAAGGAUGUCAUAUUUACAGUAAAACAAGUUCAAAAACAGACAACUUCAUAGACUCAAACUGGGACAUCAGAGUCAUUACGGGUGACGCCAACCGUUUCCUAUGAAGACAUCGUUUCAUUUUGCUCAAAUCACUGAUCCUAAAUAAACGAGUCCUUUUCCAGACGGCUACAGAAAGUGGAUAUCAGCCCGCAGAACCACUCAGAGUCUACAAACAAAGCAGAACUGCCUUUGGCGAUCAGCUUGAACAUUCGACCGCCUAGAAGGCCAUACUCCACCGUGCUCUCCGUCUUAUUAAAGGUGGUCCAGGUUACC